CUGUUGUUUCCUUUACUUGGGAAGACCGGAAACGGUUUUAUUUCCCACCGUUGUGCUUUAAACGACUUCGAAGUUCAGAAAACAAAGUCCAAAACGACAGAGAUCCAAACGCUGUUCCCAAAAGCUUUAUCUUCAAAUUCUCUACGCGAUUUCUCUCUUCGCCGCUAAGCUUCAGUAUUUGAUGUCGCCGGAGUCAAAGUCUCGAGCUUUUAUAUGUCAAGCCAAAAGGUGAUGCUUGACAGCAGGUUGAAAAUGAAAGUUGAAACCCCAUUUGAAGAGUACCCAUCCUACACUCGUGUACAACUGUCAUGAUCAUGAGGGAUACAAAAAUCGGAGAAGACGAAGGAGAAUUGGGGAAAUUGGAAAUAGGGUUAGGGAUUUCAAAUGAGGAGAUUGGUACUGCCAGCAGUGAAGGGAGUCAUGUCAAUAGCACCCAACAACACCUGCAAGGGAAUCAAAAUGUUAGAUACAACUGUAUUGCCAACUGGUAAAUGGGAUAGGGUUGGUACAAUGUAAAGAUAUAAAGCAAUGUACU